AGAUUCUGAGAAGUCUGUGAGAGAGAUGUGUGGUCUGAGAACAAGCGUUGUGUUAAAUGCAACGUGUGCCCUUCGAAGGAUGGGAAGCAGGGAAAGUAUUGCUAAGAGUGUCUGUAGUGCGUAAAACCAUCCUGGUGUCACUGCCAGCCCUGUGGCUGCUGUGCCCCCCCCCGGGACCACCCCUGUGGGAACAGCCCAGGUCUGGAAGGCUGCUACAACUGUGGUAGCUUGAAGCACAAACGCAGAGCCUGUCCCCUCAAAGACAGAGGACCAGCAACAAUAAGACCAAGGGAGGCAAGAUCCUGCCCAAACAACAACCCAAAAAGUCCAAUUCCAAGAGGCAGUCUGGAGCCCAGCGCAGAGCCAACAAGUUGAAGGAGACAGCAGAGUGGUCACACAACCCCACUUUCACAACUCACCACACAGCAAGGGAGAUGUGUGUGUGUGUGUGUGUGUGUGUGUGUGUGUGUGUGUAGCAGAUGUGAAGUAGUCAUUAGUUGGCAGCUUGUGUGUGGUUGGUUGCUGUACUGUAGACAGUCAGUCAGUCUUUUAAAGACAUUUAACUUGUUUUUGCUUAAUAACUAUGGAUAAUCUCAUGUUACACCACCAUUUUGAAUUCACAUAAUUCUUGAUUUCCUGCUGUAUGUCAAUGUGUAACGCUGUUUUGGAGCACUAGUAGGAACUAGUCCACACAGAGAACAGAAGCUGUGUCGUUGAAGAAGGCUCUGCGCAUGUUGGACGUUUCCUCCAAAACGAGGUCAAUGCCGUUGCAUCAAAAUAACUGACUGGACUGUAUGUAUGAAACUAAAGCUGAGCUUUCGAGGAGAUUUACCUAAGAAAACAGGUGAAAGGCAUCCAUUUUAUUUUUCUGUGCUCAAGACGGUGGGAUAGAAACACCAUGUUUUCCUACCCUGCAGGCGGAUGAGGCGGAAGAUAGAGAAAAUAAUUCCUUUAUGAAUUCCAUCCGGAUCUGGACUGAUACACCUUACAGUGGAGGCGACUCAUGUCCUUCCAGGAAGGAGCGCAGGCAACAGACUGACAAUGGAGAAGGAUAACUCAGAACCUUCUGGGAUAGUGUUGUGAUCUCACUGCGUUUAGCUAGUAUAGCUUCAGUUUCUGAAUACACACAAUUAUUAUUUAUUAUGCAAGUGAUAUGUAGAAAAUAUAGCCUUUUAAGAAGCUGAUUUGCAAUCAGCAUGCAUAUUCACAUGAACCUGAGUGAAGCGUAAAUGCAUCAUUUUUUUGUGUGUCACUUCCUUUGUUAGCCACUAAUUUCUUCCUGUAUAUGUCAUCAACACCAUUCCCUGUGGAUUUUCUGUUUAUUUUCUUCCAAUGAACCUUGUGUCAUGGUUGUUAUUUAGUAAACAGCCCUCUGAAUAUCUGGCUCCGAUUCAUUUGAAUCAUAGUAAUACACUGCUAUCCUCUACUGGUCCCCAGAGUUCUGUAUUGAGUAAUGUCUUUUGCAGAGUGAAUGCAGUGUCCAAGUCACACCCCAGCGUGUAUUAGUGUCCGAGUCACACCCCAGCGUGUAUUAGUGUCCGAGUCACACCCCAGCGUGUAUUAGUGUCCGAGUCACACCCCAGGGUGUAUUAGUGUCCGAGUCACACCCCAGCGUGUAUUAGUGUCCGAGUCACACCCCAGGGUGUAUUAGUGUCCGAGUCACACCCCAGGGUGUAUUAGUGU